GGGGAGAACGAUUAACCGAUUUAGAUCUAAUAUUAGCAUUUUCUACUGGGGUGUCUCACCAAUAUUUUCAUCAUCUUCAUCUAAAUCAACCGCAUCUACUUCAUUUUCUUCUUUUAUACCGUAAUUUUUCUUAGCUUCUACAUAAUCCAUAUCGUGAGCACCUACACCUACAUCUUCCUCAAAAGACUGACUAAGAGGUACCAGAGGCGGAGGCAUACAGGUUUAUCUAUUACUUGAACUACCUCUACCGCUAGUAAUUCGGUUUUUACUAUCACUACCACUUCCGGGA
rnacentral:lncRNA from 1 species